UUGGGCAAAAUUUGGCAUCCAUACUUUGUUAAUCUGUCUUGGCGUGUACCCUAAUUGUGGGUUUCUUAGUGUGUGAGUUCGUGGAGAAUGGCACGGAGUAAAACCUGCUUAGGAAACAUGAUACACCUCAAUUCCAUGGUUCAAUGGAUAUCGAAUUGCACUGGAAGUGGCCUCUGCUCUCGCCUUCCUUCACAAUUUCAAGACAGAUACGAAAUUCUUCAUCAUUAUCUAAAGCCCCAAAACAUAUUGCUUGUUUUGUCAGCAACAUUAGUUAUGUUGGCCUCUCGAUCGUGAUCUUGGUUUCCUCAUGGUGACCGUGUAAGUAUUUGAUUCUAUUUCUUUAGAGAUUAUUCAGUUAGAAUUCAUCCUGCCUCUGAAAUUCCCUUGCGUUUGUAUUUUAUUUUUCUUUUUACCUCAGUGUUGAUGAUUUUGGAUAUUUGAUUUAUAUAUAUCAUAUAUAUGUUAUUUUUGCUUUCUUGGUCGAUUCUGUAUAUGUAUGUCUUUAUUUGCUCAAAUGCCUAUAUGAAAAUUUUCUGCUAAGGUGCGCAUGCAAACCGCUACUCGUUGAGCAUACAAAAUUUUCUCCUGAAUCAAAUAUAGUAUAGUACUUGAUAAGAAAGGAUUUUGAAAAACAUCUGAGCAUUGUGAGCUCUCCUUAUCGUCUGUAGAACCAACAUAGAGAGGUUGAUUAUUGCACAAUCAAAUUUUCAUCUCAACGGUGCUGCAUGGGAUGAAUUUUUAUGUCAUUUUAUUUUAUAUCUUUUUGACUCUUUUGGUGUUCGUAGAGAUUCAGAUGCUAAUAUUGAUUUUGUACAAACAGAAAUUCCAAAUAGAAGGUGAUUUUCUGUGCAAAGAGAUUAAAUUGUUCAGAUUAUGGAUUUACGUAUAUUCAAUCUUUAAGAGUUGUUUAAAAAUUACAGUUGGAAACUGCCUUGGAGAAACUAUGAUGUUUCCGUAUUAAAUGCUUCUCUCCGCUUUAUUGUGACUAAAGGUGCUGAUCUUACUUUAAUAUUUUUGUAUCUGGAAUUCCAAAUAUAAGUUACUUUGCACCGGCAUAUAUAUAUAUAUAUAUAUAUAUAUAUAUAUAUAUAGUAUUGGUGCAAAUAUUCACAUUAAAAUUUUACCCCCUCCGCCCCUCACAGCGUCACUCCUCCAAAAUCACAAAAGCUGAAACAGUGACAGUGCUGCCUUCAAAAUCUUCAACAAUGGGCGAAGAAUCAGAAUCAGAAUCUCCAUCUCAACCCAACCCUAACACCACCACCUACCUAACCAAUGUACCCCGCCAAACUCAUUCACCCCCCUCCAAACUCCCUUCUCGGCCCAGAAAAAUUCGCAAACUUUCCAACACUACAGAUUCCCACAAUAAUUCCGUACCAAGAAUCGUCCCUUGUUCACUUUCAUCGAAAGGUGAACUAGAAUCAGCCAUUAACUACCUCAAAUCCUCCGACCCAUUACUUAUCCCAUUAAUACAAACUUACCCACUUCCCAUUCUUGAACUUUCUCAACCCCCUUUUCUUGCCUUGACAAAAAGCAUUCUUUUUCAGCAAUUAGCUUUGAAAGCUGGUUCCUCAAUUUAUUCUCGAUUAAUCUCUCUUUGUGGUGGUGAGUGUAAUAUAAGUCCAGAUAUUGUUUUAGGAUUAACCCCACAACAGCUUCGUCAAAUUGGGAUAUCUGCUAGAAAAGCAAGUUAUUUACAUGACCUAGCAAGGAAGUAUCAAAAUGGGAUUUUGUCUGAUAAGUCAAUUGUGGAAAUGGAUGAUAAGUCCCUUUUUGCUAUGCUUACUAUGGUCAAUGGAGUGGGGCCUUGGUCAGUUCAUAUGUUUAUGAUAUUUUCGUUGCAUAGUCCGGAUGUUUUGCCAAUACAUGAUCUUGGUAUUAGAAAGGGAGUUCAAAUGUUAUAUGGGCUUGAGGAUCUUCCUAGGCCUUCGCAAAUGGAUCAGUUGUGUGAGAAGUGGAAGCCUUAUAGAUCGGUUGCUUCUUGGUAUAUUUGGAGGUUUGUAGAGGCAAAGGGGGCGAAUUCGAAAGCAACUAUUGUGGCGAAUUCUGAUGUUAGUUUGCAGCUACAGCAGCAAAUGUUGCCAAUGCAGCAGCAACAGCAACAUCAGCAUUUCUUGGAUCCUCUUAAUGGGAUUCUUAAUGUUGGGUAUGUUUCCUUUUGAUUCUAGUUUGCCAGUAACUGUGCAGUAAUUGUUUCCAAGAAUGUUUCAUUACCGUCAAAUUAGUAGGAAAUGAUGGUUAUCCGUGGGUGAAAGUUGAUUGAUUACUUUUGCUUAGCUGAGAUGAAUGUACCGUUAACCUAUAUGACAAUGUGAGAGUGUUGAUGCCCCGUGGGCACACUGUAACUUCGGGGAACCAAAAUUUUGCUCAGGAACUUGAUGAUCAGUGAGUAAAAUUUCUAGAAUGGAUGGAAUUAAAGUUUUUAGGCAGUCUAUAUAUAUAAAACUUAUCGAGAUAUCCAUUGUAUCAAACACAUAUUGAGAUUUGAGGUAGCCUUAUAGGGGGACAAUUGAUAUGAGGGUUGGAGUGUGAUCUUAAAUAUAAUGAUAGCAUUGUGACCCUAUAGUAGAAGCUCGGAACAGACUUGUGUCAAAUUAAAGCACAUAAUGAGCAAGAGCAUUAAUGCAUAAUAUCUUCUCUAAGGCCACAGUACCUCAAUAUUGAAGCUAUUAAGUUUUCAAGCAGCAUAUACAAGUUUGUAUGCGUUUCUUUGAGCUUCUAGUUCAGAAACUUUUACAUGACAUGGCUUGUAGAUUCACCUGUCUUCUAUGGAUUGGAAGUCAAAUGUGCUUAAUAGAAUCAUCGGCUUAAUUGCCGUCAUGCAAUGAUUUUGAAUCUUCUCUAGUGUUUAGCUGGUUUCUGCUUAGAUGUUUAAGAAUCUUCUUCCAUGUUUUCCCUUCUCUUUUCAGGUAAAACUUGUCCUUCACAAUAUUGUAGUUACACAGUAGUUAGAUUAAUCUCAAGGUAGUUCUGCUUUGUUAGUCAAAAGCUUAAAAAAGAAAAGAAAAAGUAGGAAAAAAGUGAUAACAUCAAUUUUGUUCCAUCGAAUCUGAGCGGAUCUACGUGCUGUUUCCUUGGUUACUCGGUUAACAAUUCAAAGCUAAAAUCACAUGUCGUAUCUUGGUAGGAUCUUAGUUAUCAUUCAUAUGUCUAAGGCUUUCAUAUGAAAGGAGGAAUAAGAAAACUUCUAAGUUGCUCCUACACGACAGUUUAGGUGCCGCGCCCGUGUCGACACGACACUAGUAUGGGUGUGGGUAUGGGAUCUGUACCGGAUCUAGUCAAACAAUUUUGGGUACUUUGACCACGACGGACGGAAAAAUUAGAUGCGAGAUACAAUUUGAUUCCCGAAAUCAAAAUCAAAGCUAGAGUAAAUUUGAAGAAAAUAGCAUACCUUAUCUAGGAAAUCAAUCAUUUACUUAUCUUAUUUACAACUUAAGAAUAAUAAAAAAAUCCUCAUUUUACAAGCUAUAUGUAAGUACUCCACAAAAUUUCUCAUAAUUUAGAGAUUUUAUUUAUUUAUUUAUUUUGUUUUUAGCCGGAUUCCCCCACCCGUAUAUGUAUUAGGAUCCGUAUCCCCAAAUCUUAGAAUUUACAUCUUAAAAGAUUUGACCUCUAGAUACGCACCCGUGUCGGACACCCGCACCAGUGUCCGAGCAACAUAACUUACGGCAUUUUAAUAAACCAAAAGAAGAGGGGAUAUUUUGUUCCUAUUAUGUAAGGAGAGGAGAACAAAAGGAAAUUGAACUAAAAAGAAUUUGGCGAUGAGUUUCCUUGCAUAUAACUGCUAAGAUCCAUUGGCUUUGGCAUUUAGGUUGAUGUUUGGUGUUGCAUUUUUCUUGGUUAACAAAUCCAAGAGUAGCCUUAUUGACUUGACCUUUGUCAUUCAUUUCUAUCUACAAUCUAUGUGAAUAAGAACCCACGCGAUUCACAUGUGAUUUCCAUUAGUAAAGAAUGAGACUGUGACCUUAAUCUGUUUGGGAUCUUCCUCCAAACUAGUGCGGGACCAAGUUUAUUCUUUAAUAAUAGUCAUUUCAACUUUUCAUCACCCUCCUGGAACCACAAUAAUGAGCUGUAUAGACUUAACAGCCAAGAUCUUUUGCCAAUUUUCCGUUUUUCUUUUUCUUCCUUCCCGAAAACCUUCUCUGAUUUAAGGCGCUAGUUCAUAAAAAUAUAUUACUUCGUCAGUGGAAAAAAAGGUGCUAAUUGCUCUGAUCCCUUUUAGUAGACAACUUUGCCAUGAAUUCUAGUGACUCCAAUAUUGCAUCUCAUUACUUAUGAAAUCAUUUUAACUAUGCUCUUGACUCAGCAAAAUGUCUCAGAAAAUUUUGCAUAUCAUACCCCAUGCUAUUUGGUGGGGACUGUUGGACAGAAAGGAACAACAAUAACUUUGGAAUUCAACCUAGAAUAUCCUAGGAAUAAGCACCCGGAAUCUCUUUGGAAUAUCUUCCUCCGAUAAGGUUGGAUGAAGUACCAAAGAAGCCCUAAAAAGAGCAGCCCAGUGCACAAAGCAUCCCCAUUCACGUAGAGUCCGGGGAAGGGACGCACCCCAAGGGUGAGAUAUAGACAGCCUACCCUAAUACAAGCAUGCCUAUCCUAAGUACCUAAGAAGCCUAAUGCUCCCUUAUUUAAAUGAAAAAAUAUGUUGGUAAUUAUCAGCUGCAAAUGCUAGGUAACACCGAGUAACUUAGCUGAUGAGAUAUAAAGUUUUUGCACAGUUACUCCCAUAGCACAAAUUUACCAAAUUACGCUAGUAGUCAUUUGGCAUGCUAUCAUGCCUUGUUAAAUAGAGACUACUUAUUAAACAAAAAAAGUUUCUCUUGCAUCAAGUUCCUACUUUCUGUAGGAAACAUCUUUUCUUGCCUUUAUGAGUUUAAAGUUGUUGCUAAUCUUGCCUUAUAUCACGUCUAUCUUUGCCUUGCUAUGUGUUUCUCAUUUAUGUAUAGCCUGUGUUCUCUUGUUUAUGCUGUUAAAAUUACCCUUGAGUAUUUCAGUGACUUCAGUGCGAUGUGAAGAGUUCAUUUUUUUAAGAAACAUCAAUGUAUAUGUAAAAAGUCACUAAAAUUCUUACAUAAACCAAGUUUUGAACCUACAAAUGCAAGAGCGUAAUGGAUAAGUGGUGAGAACAUAAAUACUGAACCCAUCAAAUUAUAUCACGAAUUUGCCUCUCACGUUGGUAUUAUCUAGGGUGAGAUUAGUUGCCUCUCUCUCCAGUUUUCCCUUGGUACAGAUUCAUUCUAGCCUUUCAAGCUUCUUGUAGCUACAACAACAUUAUUUUCUUGUUUGCUAAUCAUGAAAUGAUCAAAUACAGGGCAUGUGCAUGGGGACAGUAAGUGAAGGCAGAGAGUUGUCAGUUGGCUGUGUGAGUUUUUUGGGGUCGCAAAUAGCUACAAUUUUAGCCACAGGUUAUCAAGCUGAGAACAUUGUAAAUUCACUUUGUAACUUCAGCAAGAACUUUUGUUGCGACUCAUC
rnacentral:lncRNA from 1 species